CCUACGGGAGGCAGCAGUGGGGAAUAUUGCACAAUGGGGGAAACCCUGAUGCAGCGACGCCGCGUGAGUGAAGAAGUAUUUCGGUACGUAAAGCUCUAUCAGCAGGGAAGAAAAUGACGGUACCUGACUAAGAAGCCCCGGCUAACUACGUGCCAGCAGCCGCGGUAAUACGUAGGGGGCAAGCGUUAUCCGGAUUUACUGGGUGUAAAGGGAGCGUAGGCGGUAGCGCAAGUCUGUAGUGAAAUCCCAUGGCUUAACCAUGGAACUGCAUUGGAAACUGUGCAGCUAGAGUGCAGUAGAGGUAAGCGGAAUUCCUAGUGUAGCGGUGAAAUGCGUAGAUAUUAGGAGGAACACCAGUGGCGAAGGCGGCUUACUGGACUGUAACUGACGUUGAGGCUCGAAAGCGUGGGGAGCAAACAGGAUUAGAUACCCGUGUAGUC
rnacentral:rRNA from 1 species